rnacentral:rRNA from 1 species
UACGUAGGGUGCAAGCGUUAAUCGGAAUUACUGGGCGUAAAGCGUGCGCAGGCGGUUUUGUAAGUCUGUCGUGAAAUCCCCGGGCUCAACCUGGGAAUUGCGAUGGAGACUGCAAGGCUAGAAUCUGGCAGAGGGGGGGGUAGAAUUCCACGUGUAGCAGUGAAAUGCGUAGAGAUGUGGAGGAACACCGAUGGCGAAGGCAGCCCCCUGGGUCAAGAUUGACGCUCAUGCA